ACACAAAAUCUUGUUUUUAUUCAUUCUACUGGUGGUUCAUUUAGCUCACGUAGUUCUUCUUCCUUCCUCCUCCUCCUCUUCUUCUUCCCUCCUUCUUCUUCCUUCCUCCUCCUCUUCUUCUUCCUUCCUCCUCUUCUUCUUCCCUCCUUCUUCUUCCUUCCUCCUCCUCCUCCCCUUCUUCUUCCUUCCUCCUCCUCCUCCUCCCCUUCUUCUUCUUCCUUCCUCCUCCUCUUCUUCUUCCUUCCUCCUCCUCUUCUUCUUCUUCUUCCUUCCUCCUCCUCUUCUUCUUCCUUCCUCCUCCUCUUCUUCUUCUUCUUCUUCCUUCCUCCUCCUCCUCUUCUUCCUUCCUCCUCUUCUUCUUAUCCCUUCUUCUUCUUCCUCCUCCUCUUCUUCUUCUUCUUCCUUCCUCCUCCUCCUCUUCUUCUUCCUUCUUCUUCUUCUUCCUUCCUCCUCCUCCUCCUCUUCUUCCUUCCUCCUCUUCUUCUUAUCCCUUCUUCUUCCUUCCUCCUCUUCUUCUUCUUCCUCCUCCUCCUCUUCUUCUUCUUCUUCCUUCCUCCUCCUCUUCUUCUUCCUUCCUCCUCCUCUUCUUCUUCCUUCCUCCUCUUCUUCUUAUCCCUUCUUCUUCCUUCUUCCUCUUCUUCUUCUUCCUUCUUCUUCUUCCUUCCUCCUCCUCCUCCUCCUCCUCCUCCUCCUCUUCCUUCCUUCCUCCUCCUCCUCUUCUUCUUCCUUCCUUCUUCUUCUUCCUUCCUCCUCCUCUUCUUCUUCUUCCUUCCUCCUCCUCCUCCUCCUCUUGUUCUUCCUUCCUCCUCCUCUUCUUCUUCUUCCUUCCUCCUCCUCUUCUCCUUCCUCCUCCUCCUCUUCUUCUUCCUUCCUUCCUUCCUCCUCCUCUUCUUCUUCCUUCCUCCUCCUCCUCUUCUUCUUCCUUCCUCCUCCUCCUCUCCUUCCUCCUCCUCCUCUUCUUCUUCUUCCUUCCUCCUCCUCCUCCUCCUCUUCUUCUUCCUUCCUCCUCCUCCUCUUCUUCUUCCUUCCUCCUCCUCUUCUUCUUCCUUCCUCCUCCCCUUCUUCUUCCUUCCUCCUCCUCCUCUUCCUUCCUCUCCUUCUUCUUCCUUCCUCCUCCUCCUCUCCUUCCUCCUCCUCCUCUUCUUCUUCCUUCCUCCUCCUCUUCUUCUUCCUUCCUCCUCCCCUUCUUCUUCCUUCCUCCUCCUCCUCUUCCUUCCUCUCCUUCUUCUUCCUUCCUCCUCCUCCUCUCCUUCCUCCUCCUCCUCUUCUUCUUCUUCCUUCCUCCUCCUCCUCUUCCUUCCUCUUCUUCUUCUUAUUCCUCCUCCUCCUCUCCUCCUCUUCCUCCUCUUCUUCUUCCUUCCUCCUCCUCCUCUCCUUCCUCCUCCUCCUCUUCUUCUUCCUUCCUCCUCCUCUUCUUCUUCCUUCCUCCUCCUCUUCUUCUUCCUUCCUUCCUCCUCCUCUUCCUUCCUCUUCUUAUUCCUUCUUCAUACCUCUUCUUCUUCUUCUUGGCAGUUGACAAACAACUUUAGAGGUGCAUUACCGCCACCCACUGGUAACAAGUGUGGAUCUGGUUGGCUUGGGUUUAUGUGGCAGGUGAAACAGGUGAGCAGCAUGAGCUUGAUGACUGGGAGCAGGUGUGGCAGAUGA
rnacentral:lncRNA from 1 species